UGCAGUCGAACGGAUCCUUCGGGAUUAGUGGCAGACGGGUGAGUAACGCGUGGGAAGCUACCUUGUGGUAGGGGACAACAGUUGGAAACGACUGCUAAUACCCUAUGAGCCCUAUGGGGGAAAGAUUUAUCGCCAUGAGAUGUGCCCGCGUUAGAUUAGCUAGUUGGUAAGGUAAUGGCUUACCAAGGCGACGAUCUAUAGCUGGUCUGAGAGGAUGAUCAGCCACACUGGGACUGAGACACGGCCCAGACUCCUACGGGAGGCAGCAGUGGGGAAUAUUGGACAAUGGGGGCAACCCUGAUCCAGCCAUGCCGCGUGUGUGAUGACGGCCUUAGGGUUGUAAAGCACUUUCAGCAGUGAAGAUAAUGACAUUAACUGCAGAAGAAGCCCCGGCUAACUUCGUGCCAGCAGCCGCGGUAAUACGAAGGGGGCUAGCGUUGUUCGGAAUCACUGGGCGUAAAGAGUACGUAGGCGGACUGAUAAGUUAGGGGUGAAAUCCCAAGGCUCAACCUUGGAACUGCCUUUGAUACUGUCAGUCUUGAGAUCGAGAGAGGUGAGUGGAACUCCGAGUGUAGAGGUGAAAUUCGUAGAUAUUCGGAAGAACACCAGUGGCGAAGGCGGCUCACUGGCUCGAUACUGACGCUGAGGUACGAANGCGUGGGGAGCAAACANNANNNNAUACCCUGGUNNNCCACGCCGUAAACGAUGAAUGCUAGUUGUCAG
rnacentral:rRNA from 1 species